rnacentral:rRNA from 14 species
AUGUACCGGGGCUAAACAUACUACCGAAGCUGUGGAUUGUACUUACGUACAAUGGUAGGAGAGCGUUCUAAGGGCGUUGAAGCAUGAUCGUAAGGACAUGUGGAGCGCUUAGAAGUGAGAAUGCCGGUGUGAGUAGCGAAAGACGGGUGAGAAUCCCGUCCACCGAUUGACUAAGGUUUCCAGAGGAAGGCUCGUCCGCUCUGGGUUAGUCGGGUCCUAAGCUGAGGCCGACAGGCGUAGGCGAUGGAUAACAGGUUGAUAUUCCUGUACCACCUAUAAUCGUUUUAAUCGAUGGGGGGACGCAGUAGGAUAGGCGAAGCGUACGAUUGGAUUGUACGUCUAAGCAGUGAGAUUGAGUGUUAGGCAAAUCCGGCACUCUUAAGAUUGAGCUGUGAUGGG